rnacentral:rRNA from 1 species
GACGAACGCUGGCGGCGUGCUUAACACAUGCAAGUCGAGCGAGGUCCACUCUUCGGGGUGGUGCCCUAGCGGCGAACGGGUGAGUAACACGUGGGCAACCUGCCCUCAGCUCUGGGAUAACUCCAAGAAAUUGGUGCUAAUACCGGAUGUGACCGCUGACCGCAUGGUCUGGUGGUGGAAAGAUUUAUCGGCUGGAGGAUGGGCCCGCGGCCUAUCAGCUUGUUGGNGGGGUCACGGCCCACCAAGGCGACGACGGGUAGCCGGCCUGAGAGGGUGACCGGCCACACUGGGACUGAGACACGGCCCAGACUCCUACGGGAGGCAGCAGUGGGGAAUAUUGCGCAAUGGGCGAAAGCCUGACGCAGCGACGCCGCGUGAGGGAUGACGGCCU